rnacentral:rRNA from 1 species
GAUGAACGCUGGCGGCGUGCUUAACACAUGCAAGUCGAGCGAAGCACUAAAGCGGAUUUCUUCGGAUUGAAGGUUUAGUGACUGAGCGGCGGACGGGUGAGUAACGCGUGGGUAACCUGCCUCAUACAGGGGGAUAACAGUUGGAAACGGCUGCUAAUACCGCAUAAGCGCACAGUACCGCAUGGUACGGUGUGAAAAACUCCGGUGGUAUGAGAUGGACCCGCGUCUGAUUAGGUAGUUGGUGGGGUAACGGCCUACCAAGCCGACGAUCAGUAGCCGACCUGAGAGGGUGACCGGCCACAUUGGGACUGAGACACGGCCCAAACUCCUACGGGAGGCAGCAGUGGGGAAUAUUGCACAAUGGGGGAAACCCUGAUGCAGCGACGCCGCGUGAGCGAAGAAGUAUUUCGGUAUGUAAAGCUCUAUCAGCAGGGAAGAAAAUGACGGUACCKACUAAGAGUCCCGAAUUCC